UACGGAGGGUGCAAGCGUUAUCCGGAUUUACUGGGCGUAAAGGGCGCGUAGGCGGCCAGCACAAGUCAGUUGUGAAAUCUCCGGGCUUAACUCGGAAAGGUCAACUGAUACUGUGCGGCUAGAGUGCGGAAGGGGCAACUGGAAUUCCUGGUGUAGCGGUGAAAUGCGUAGAUAUCAGGAGGAACACCUGUGGUGUAGACGGCUUUCUGGACCAUAGCUGACGCUGAGACACGAAAGCGUGGGUAGCAAACAGG
rnacentral:rRNA from 1 species